CAGGGACAUUCUAUUAUUGACUAUAAAAUUAUAACAAAAUGCCUGCCAAGAUAAUAAUAGUAUGUCUUCAUUCUCAACAAAUUUUUGUUUUUGUCUUUAUGAUUUGUUAAAUUUCUCAGAACUAGUUUAGAAGUAAAAAUGACUAAUAUUGAGAUGAAUGGAAUUUGUUGUUCAUGAGCCAGAUACACCCAGAGAAACAAAUGUGAAGCUAAAGUCACCUUGGGGCAAAAGUAGUAUCUCCAUGGCAGGUUGAAAUCAGCUGGAGUGCUGUGUACCUGGGGAGCAGGUGGGACAAGAAUAGAUUCCUAUUGGUGUCUGGAGUCCACAGGUAUUCACUGAACAACUUCCACCUGUGCCAGGUGGGCGCACAAGGCUAAAAUGCAGAGUCUGUGUCCUUAGAGAAUGCACGGAAGAUCCAGCCUUGUUAGUAAGGCAAGGUAUGAUGAGGGCUUUGAUGAAACACAGGCAGGAUCAAGGGGAUUCUAGAAGUCUAGUUUUCAUUGCCUGGAGAAUAAGAAUGGGGCUUUCAAAGUGAGACCUGAAAAGUGUGAUACUGACCUUACAUAGCCUGUUACCACCAAGUACAUGCAUUCGUCAAUUCAUUUACUCAAUCAUUCAUUCAACAAACACAACUCGAGGGCUUACUUUGUGCUGGGAAUGUAUUGGUAAGAUUCAGUAGUUCAUAGUUUAGCAAGGAAUACAGCCAAUCAGAUGGGAAGUUAGAGCAAGUGGGCCCCAGGGAAGUGGCAGGGAUCUGAUGGUGGCUUAGAAGAGGGACCCUGCGGAUGUAGGGUGGUAUGUGAUCAGAAAGGGCCUCGUGGAAGAUUCCGUGUCUACACCCAGAUGCCAGGCUGAAGAAGAGUUGGCUGGGUGGAGGGUGGGUUGUGGGGACCCUCAGGGAGUUAACAGGGUAAGGAAGAGGUUUCAUAUGAGAGAGAGCUGAGAGCCUUUGUUACACUGGACAGGCAGAUAGAGUCAGUUUUGGUACAAGAAAGGAAGUGUGGAAGUUAGCCACCAUGGGGGAUUGUCUUCUUAUAUCAGGAAGAAAUUUCCAUUAUUAACACUAGUAGGGAAAUUUCUGCUCAGUAAGGAGGGUCCCAUGAGAAACCAGAGUUCACACCUGUAAUCACAUCUCUCUCCAGGAUAUUUUAACUGAAAGUAUUAUCUUAGGUAUUUUGCUGUAUGCUGCUGUUUAGUUGCUAAAUCAUGUCCAACUCUUUUGCAACCCCAUGAACUGUGGCUCACCAGGCCCUCUGUCCAUAGGAUUUCCCAGGCAAGAAUACUGCAGUGGGUUACCAUUUCCUUCUCCCAGGAGUCUUUCCUUUUCCCAGGUAAUGAACCUGUGUCUCCUGCACUGGUAGGCGAAUUCUUUCCAUUGAGCCACUAGGGAGGCUAUUCUUAGGUAUUUAUAAGCCCCCAGUUGAGGGCUUCCCUCGUGGCUCAGCUGGUUAAGAGUCCACCUGGAAUGAGGGAGACCUGAGUUUGAUUCCCAGGUUGGGAAGAUCCCCUGGAGAAGGGAAGAGCUACCCACUUCAGUGUUCUAGCCUGGAGAAUUCCAGGAACUGUAUAGUCCAUGGGGUCGCAAAGAGCGGGACACAACUGAGCGACUUUCACUUUUACUUUCAAAUGUAACUGACAGGACUUUUUUUUUUUUUUUUUUUUUUUGGCUAUGCUCUUUGCUUUGAUGAGAUCCCCUGGAGAAUGGAAUGGCUACCCACUCCAGUAUUCUUUCCUGGAGAAUCCCAUGGACAGAGGAGCCUGGUGGGCCAUAGUCCAUGGGCUCACAAGGAGUUGGACACAACUGAGCAACUAACACUUUUGUUGCUUUGAUUUCACAGAAUUUGCUGCUAAGCACUGGCAAUAACCAGGCUGCCAUGUGCAGCUCCACAAGUUGAAUAAAAAGAAAGUGAGGUCACGGCACGGAACACAUUGAGGAAUGGUGUUGUCUUAUCAAAUUUAAGGUGUUCAGAAGUGUUAAUUCUGUAAAUGUCACUCAGAAUCUUUUUAUUGCAUCAAACAAAAAAGACUUUUAGCACUUGGGCUAAAUGUCCUUUAGUCCAAGGUUAAGCUUACUGCAUACGGCAAAAUAUCCUGCUCCAUUCUUCUUGCUCCAAGGAAGUUUCAUAAUAAUCCAAAUACUGAAUUUAAUAAUGAUCCUGAUAACCUAUGCACACAUUACUAUCUUUUUGCUUGUUUGAAACUGUUUUUUUUUUUAAAGGAAGCAUCCCAUUCUGUCCCACGAACUGUCUUGCUCCUAUGUAACAAAAUCAAAGUCUGAUUUUCCCUUCAUUCCUAAUAUUCCCAGAGCUUACACUUGACUGCAUUUCUUUUUAAACAGUGUUUUUUUAGUCUCUGCUGAGUUCUAUGCUAGCUACAGGUGGCUACAGAAAUUCAUCAGACAAGACCCUGCCAUACAAAAGUUUAUAAUCUGAGGGGAGGAGAGGAGACCCACAUACACAGAAGAAUGUCCACUUAGAGUAAUGAAAAAGAGCAGAUGAGAAACACCAAGAGCAUUACCACCUCAGCAUCUCUUAGAACAAGUCAAACUGCUUCUACCAGGAUGCCAGCAUCCUGCCAGGGUCUGGAAGGAGGAAAAUAGCCCAGAGGAGUUGCCGUAGUGGUAUAAGCCGUGCCUCUCAUGCAGAACCUCCAAGCUUCCUUGCUGACACUGACACCAUCCCCAGGUCAGUGUCAAGGCAGGAAAUUUGUCAAAGGAGAUGUUCAGUGGUGCUGGUUUCAGCUCAGUCUGCCUAGAAGCACCACCUCCUGAAUGGCAUCUUAUCAGUCUGUAGUACAAAGUCUCUGGAUGCUCUGUGGCUAAACUGUUUAUUCUACUUUUUUUUUCAAGUUAAUAGGCGAAAGUGUGAAAAGUGAAAGUGUCUUGUCUGACUGUGAUGCCAUGGAGUGCAGCCUGCUGGGCUCCUCUGUCAUGGGAUUCUCCAGGCAGGAAUACGGGAGUGGGUUGCCAUUCCCUUUGCCAGGGGUUCAUCCCAAUCCAGGGAUCAAACCUGGGUAUCCUGCCUUGCAGGCAGAUUCUUUAACAUCUGAGCCACCAGGGAAGCCCCUUAAUAGGUGAAACAGAUUAUCAAAUAAAUAAAUGGUCUACUGAUUGUGUCCAUAAACAUUAUCACACUCUAGCUUAACCAGGAGAACCAGCCUGUGGCUUUUUGUUUAUCCAUCAUACAACGCAGGGCUCUGGAAUUCAUUUUGUUUUAUUAUGUUUUAAUUUAGUUUUCAAAUGUGACCUCCUAUGCUGUAGAAGGUAAAUAGAGGCAGGGUCUUCAGCACGGUCCCUUUCUCUGAAAAUAGAACCUGAAUGUAUAGCUUGAUGCCACUGUGAAUUCCUAAUGCAUAUUUAUUCUGGUGAGAAUGUAUACAAUAAUCAUAAUCUCCCAAACAUCCUUGGAAAUUGUAAAAUUACGGUGAUGGGAAUAACAAAGUCAUCAGAACCAAUAUAAUUCUACUAUUUUUCUACAUUUGCUUUUUGGUCAGCAUUUUGUGUAGCUCGUGAUGUGUAU
ensembl:lncRNA